ensembl:lncRNA
UGCAUGCCUUGUAUUUUAACGAACUCCUCCUAGAGAUUUAUUCAGAUCAACACCAAAUUUGGUAUGCCUAAUCUAAAGGCCUUUGCGAUGUUAAAUUGCGAAGAUCUUGAGUUUUCGUUGAAGGGCGUGUCCGUGGCGGCCUGACGAAUUUCGAUGAUUCGCCAUGAAAAAAAUGAAGUUGCUAUAACUCAGACAUACAAUGUCCAAUCUGCCACAAACUUCACAUGUUUGAUAAGACUCCUGACCUGAACAGAUUGAUAUGCCCAUAUUCAGUUAUAGUCAUAGCGCCACCUACUGGCAACAGGAAGUGACAUAUUUUACGCUGUAACAAACUACCCCGAGAAAUUUUAUGACAUCAAUUUUUUUUUUUUUCAGUCACUCUAUUCUAAAGGCCUGUGCGAUGUUAAAUUGUGAAGAUCUUGAGUUUUCGUUAAAGGGCGUGUCCAUGGCGCCGUCACAAAGUUCGAUGUCUCGCCAUGGGAAUAAAAGAUGUUAUAACUCAGGCAUAAAAUGUCCGUUCUUCCCCAAACUUCACAUGUUUGAUAAGAUUCCUGGCCUGAACACAUCUGAAGGCCAAUAUUCCAUCGGGUGUGGAAAAAUGGCUCGAUAGCGCCACCUAUACAGUUUCAACAGAGUGCGCCUCGAGCUAUGUUUCACGUACAUGUACGAAAAUCGGUACACACAUGUAACACACCAAUACCUACAAAAAAGUCUCUUGGUACGAAAUCCGAAUCCCAACAGGAAGUCGGUUAUUUUGAAUUUUCCCUGCAAAAUUGGUGUUGUUUUUGCCAUUUUCAGGGGUUGUACUUUAACGAACUCCUCCUAGAGAUUUAUUCAGAUCAACACCAAAAUUGGUCAGUGUAAUCUAAAGCCCUUUGCGAUAUUAAAUUGCGACGAUCUUGAGGUUUCGUUAAACGGCGUGUCCAUGGCGGCCUGACAAAUUUCGAUGUUUCGCCAUGAAAAAGGAAGUUGCUCUAACUCAGACAUACAAUGUCCAAUCUACCCCAAACUUCACAUGUUAGAUAUGACUUCUGACCUGAACAGAUCUACGUGCCCAUAUUCAGUUAUAGUCAUAGCGCCACCUGCUGGCAACAGGAAGUGUCAUGUUUUACGCUGUAACGAACUACUCCUAGAAAUUUUAUGACAUCAAUAUUUUUUUCUGGUCAGUCUAGUCUAAAGGCCUUUGCAAUAGUGAAUUGUGGAGAUCUUGAGUUUUUGUUAAAGCGCGUGUCCAUGGCGCUGUGACACAAUUUUAUGUCUCGCCAAAGGAAGAGAAGUUGGUGUAACUCAGGCAUAAAAUGUUUGAUCUUCCCCAAACUUCACAUGUUCGAAAAGAGUCCUGGCCUGAACAAUUCUGAAGGCCAAUAUUCCAUUAUAAUGAUAGCGCCACCUGCUGGCAACAGGAAAAUUGGCACAUAUAAAAGACUUUGACAUAUUCCACUUAUAUUUUCGACUUUAAAUGCAUAUUUCUCACUGUUCACCUUUUUACUAAAGCCACACGAUGGCGGUGAGCCCGGGUGCGAGGGCCCGUUCAUCGCUGCUUGCAGCUUUAAUUUUUUUUUUUCUUUCUUUAUUCCUCUAAUUUUUUUCCAAGGGUUCGGGGGCUUUUGGGGCCCUUAACAUGCUUAAAAAGUCUUGAAAAUUGGCACACACCUUGGAAUCUGCGGCCAUUAGGGCCGGGCAGAGACUGGUACACGGGCGUGGCACAGGGGCUCUACAGCGCCCCCUGGAAUAUUGAGGGCCAUAUAUCAUCCAUACUUACACGUAUACAUAUGAAACUCGGUACACAUGUAGAUCUCAUUAAACCAAACAACUUUCGCACUGCAUGUCAUAAGCUCCACCCAACAGGAAGUUGGCUAUUUAGGGUUUUGUGAAAAACACAUGCUCUGGAAUUUGAUAUACUCCUCUGAGGAACUCCACCCGUUCGCCACAAAACUCGGUGAACAUGAUCUCAAGACAUUGGGGAUGCUAAAUUGCGAAGAUAUUUUUGAUAUCUCGAACGGUUUGUCCGUGGCGAGGCGUUGAAAUUAUGGCGAGAAAUGAGUAACAGGAAAUGUCUAAUAACAUCAACAUACAUUACCUGAGUUUGAUCAAACUUCAUUGGUUUGUUCGAUGUAUGAUGCCGAUCGCAUAUAUGUGACUAUUAGGAGUCAAAGUUACAGCGCCACCAACUGGCAGCAGGAAGUGUGUCAUUUUCAAAAUGCUUUGAAUUCAGCAUCUUAUUUUUUUACUCGAUUUGCUUCAAACUUCAUCAGAAUAAUGAUAAAAACACGGCCGAUGUAAAUCUGUUGUGGGGAUAUUGAUAUCUAACAUAGUGUUGCCAUGGCAACACUUCAAACUUGAAUAUUCUUUUCUGGGGAUUUUGAGGCAGAUAACAUGCUCAGAAUUACAUAAAACUCAGAACACAUAUCAGUAUUAAUGAUAGCUAGACACUGGCAAAAGCUCAUGAACGGGCGUGGAGGAGCCACUCUAUAGCGCCACCUUUUGUCAAAAGUGGGGGGGUUAGUUUUAGCUACAGACACCAAACUCGGUACAUAAAUUGUUCUUAUCAAGACGGACAACUUUCUCAUUUACAGUCAUCAGCUACGACCAACAGGAAGUCGGUUAUAUUGAUUUGAAUAUGGAUUUUUGGAAAAAUAUAGCUGUGAAUUAAUGCAUACUGCUCAGAGCAGAAUUACAGUAUACACACCAAACUUUGUCUACAUGAUGCCAAAACAUUGAGGAACUUAAAUUGCGAAUGGAUUUUGGAUAGCUUGAACGGUUUCGCCGUAGUGAUUUAUUGAAAUAACAGUAAAAAAGUAAACAUAAAUUGUCUUAUAUUUCUUAAAGUACAGCUUCCAAACACUUCAAAAUUUUUAUAUAUAGAGGACAAGUCAUUCUGAGCAAAUAUGCAUAGUUUCACGACUUUACAAUGCUCUAUGGAUAAUAGAAAAUUAAAAAACUGUCAGUCAUCUGAUAUCACUCUGAGGCCACUCUCUCUGUGUGAGAAAAAGGAGGGGGCUGAGUCACUCUGAUGGCUCUGCCAUUGCCCUUUGAAGAAUGUGUGUGUGUUGAGAGUAUGUGUGUGACAGAGAAAGAGAGAGAGAGAGAGAGAGAGAGAGAGAGAGAGAGAGAUAUCAAGCUAUCCAGAGAGAGAGAGACUUAAACAUCUCUUUAAUCAUCAGAAAAAAAAAAUCAGUAUUUUAAAUUGAUAUUGUUUAUGUUGUUGCUAAUGGUGUUUUUUUUUUUUUUUUUUUCAAAAAAAUCAUAGACUGCAUAGUCUUCACUGUUUAAAACUAAAUAUAGAUUAAUCGUUUUUGAUGUUACAAAGGUUAUUUAGUCAGAAGCAGUGAGCACUUGUAUUUUUCUUUGACAGCAUUAGAUUUAUUAUUAGUUUGCUUUCACUUUAAGAACCAAUCACGGGUUUAAUAUACACAUGCCUUUUCUUUCUGAACUGUUAACAUUAAGAAAUAUGCCUAACUGACUGUGUUUACUAGGAUAUUCCCCAAAACGCGCAUUUAGAUGUUAUUAUGUAUUUAUUGAUCCAUGCACAAAAAAGCGGAAGAUAGCUCAGUUUAGUAUUCGCGCGUGCGGCUGUCUGUGUGCGUGCACGCGCUUCAGAUGUGUGCGGUGAAAACUCACACAGCGCUCGACUGUUCCGCGAACAAUCCCGAGCGUCUUAUAUGCUCACCUUGUGCCUUAUACCGAGUCCUAAUCGGUGAGUUUGAACGAGAAUGCACCCGUUGACGGACAUUAUGUGAAAAUGUAGACAGUGUCAAAUAAGCUGCCUAUUUAUAUAACAGAUAUCGAUAUUGUACGUGUGCUAUCGAUGCAUCGAUCGAUCCAUAUCGAUGAAUCAAUACACCCCUAAUAUAUCAAAUGUAAAUAACUGCAUAGUCUUCGCUGUUUA